CCCUAGCCCGGAUAGCAGCGAAAAUCCUAUUAAGCCGCUUUUUUGCGGAUUAAUAGAUUGUAGCGAAUAGCCGGAAAUAGC
rnacentral:sRNA from 1 species